rnacentral:sRNA from 1 species
UCAUCAUUUAGUCAUCUCAACUCUAGUUAGAUCUCCUACGGUACCGCUGGCACUGUUUAAGGCCAAACGAGGAAAGGCCCAAACUACCGUCCAAUGCACUGAGAUAGAUGAGACCAUCGACAAGCCAAUGGAUGAGGCAGAACAGACACGCUGCUCUCUAUUCUCAGUCGAUCUUGGCGCAAUCCACGGGUCCUCCAGUGGAGAUCUUUUCGGUACAAGCACGUUAGGAGCCAUAUAGGGACAGCGGGGCAGCAUGAAGGAUUGGCCAACCACACAACAGUUCCAGCCCAAUAUUGUCGAAUUGAAUUGAUUGUACGG